CGCCUUUUUGCUAUGCGCAGAACUUUAAGAUUCGAACCUGCAGCAGGUUCGGGUCGAACGCAGUGAGACAACGGCGCCGCUUGCGGCGACGGCCCGAAGGGCGAGGCGAAGCCGAGUCAUCCUGCACGACCCACCA
rnacentral:sRNA from 1 species